UAAACCAUAUAACUUGCAAAAAAUAAUUAUGGCGGUGAAUGUGAGAGAAAGCUAUGUAGAACAAACUGAUGGUUUGGGGGAACGACUUUGAUCAUUAGAUCAUAACUUGGAAUUAAGGCAAGGGCGAGCCUAGCCUCCUUUCUCUCUCUAAUUUUUUUUUCUUUAUAAGUUUCUCGCAAAGCAAAGCUAGAACAAGUUCUUCGGUUAGGUGACCAAUGGUUUGCUCCGUCGUUGUCGUCGGUAACUUCUCCCUUUUUCUCUUUUUUUUUUCUAUUGCUUGUAUCUCUUAUCCUUUUUCCCUUUCUUUGUGUUUUGCUUUGUGCAUCGUCGCCACCACCGUAGCGGCGAAACUAAACGGUGAGGAAGUGUUCAGCAGUUCCUUUGAUCAAGUGCGGUGGUGAUAGCUCACAUAUGGUGUCAGAUCUAGCUAUUGGAAGUAGGUUCUUCUCCUUCUUUAUUUUCUUGUCUCUUCUUUUCAGCGGGGGUGACCGUCUUGCAUGGUACAUGUCGUUGCUGGUAUCCAACAGUGUGCUCGUUUAGAUUUGUUGGCACGGUUUCCCGGAGGAUUCUUUGCUGCAUGCCGGAGACCGAAAGACUAUAUAAAACGGAGCUCAAAAGAAAAAGAAGAAGAUAUAGAAAAUGGAGAGGAAGGGUUCUCUAACGACACAAAUGGAGAGCCGAUGCCGGAGAGACAAGGAGAAAAAGGUGACGGUUUCAUCAAGUUAGAGAGAAAGGCUCUGUAAU
rnacentral:lncRNA from 1 species